rnacentral:rRNA from 1 species
GGUUAAGCGACUAAGCGUACACGGUGGAUGCCCUGGCAGUCAGAGGCGAUGAAGGACGUGCUAAUCUGCGAUAAGCGUCGGUGAGGUGAUAUGAACCGUUAUAACCGGCGAUUUCCGAAUGGGGAAACCCAGUGUGUUUCGACACACUAUCAUUAACUGAAUCCAUAGGUUAAUGAGGCGAACCGGGGGAACUGAAACAUCUAAGUACCCCGAGGAAAAGAAAUCAACCGAGAUUCCCCCAGUAGCGGCGAGCGAACGGGGAGGAGCCCAGAGCCUGAAUCAGUGUGUGUGUUAGUGGAAGCGUCUGGAAAGGCGUGCGAUACAGGGUGACAGCCCCGUACACAAAAAUGCACAUACUGUGAGCUCGAUGAGUAGGGCGGGACACGUGGUAUCCUGUCUGAAUAUGGGGGGACCAUCCUCCAAGGCUAAAUACUCCUGACUGACCGAUAGUGAACCAGUACCGUGAGGGAAAGGCGAAAAGAACCCCGGCGAGGGGAGUGAAAAAGAACCUGAAACCGUGUACGUACAAGCAGUGGGAGCCUCUUAAUGGGGUGACUGCGUACCUUUUGUAUAAUGGGUCAGCGACUUAUAUUCUGUAGCAAGGUUAACCGAAUAGGGGAGCCGAAGGGAAACCGAGUCUUAACUGGGCGUUAAGUUGCAGGGUAUAGACCCGAAACCCGGUGAUCUAGCCAUGGGCAGGUUGAAGGUUGGGUAACACUAACUGGAGGACCGAACCGACUAAUGUUGAAAAAUUAGCGGAUGACUUGUGGCUGGGGGUGAAAGGCCAAUCAAACCGGGAGAUAGCUGGUUCUCCCCGAAAGCUAUUUAGGUAGCGCCUCGUGAAUUCAUCUCCGGGGGUAGAGCACUGUUUCGGCAAGGGGGUCAUCCCGACUUACCAACCCGAUGCAAACUGCGAAUACCGGAGAAUGUUAUCACGGGAGACACACGGCGGGUGCUAACGUCCGUCGUGAAGAGGGAAACAACCCAGACCGCCAGCUAAGGUCCCAAAGUCAUGGUUAAGUGGGAAACGAUGUGGGAAGGCCCAGACAGCCAGGAUGUUGGCUUAGAAGCAGCCAUCAUUUAAAGAAAGCGUAAUAGCUCACUGGUCGAGUCGGCCUGCGCGGAAGAUGUAACGGGGCUAAACCAUGCACCGAAGCUGCGGCAGCGACGCUGAUGCGUUGUUGGGUAGGGGAGCGUUCUGUAAGCCUGUGAAGGUGGCCUGUGAGGGUUGCUGGAGGUAUCAGAAGUGCGAAUGCUGACAUAAGUAACGAUAAAGCGGGUGAAAAGCCCGCUCGCCGGAAGACCAAGGGUUCCUGUCCAACGUUAAUCGGGGCAGGGUGAGUCGACCCCUAAGGCGAGGCCGAAAGGCGUAGUCGAUGGGAAACAGGUUAAUAUUCCUGUACUUGGUGUUACUGCGAAGGGGGGACGGAGAAGGCUAUGUUGGCCGGGCGACGGUUGUCCCGGUUUAAGCGUGUAGGCUGGUUUUCCAGGCAAAUCCGGAAAAUCAAGGCUGAGGCGUGAUGACGAGGCACUACGGUGCUGAAGCGACAAAUGCCCUGCUUCCAGGAAAAGCCUCUAAGCAUCAGGUAACAUCAAAUCGUACCCCAAACCGACACAGGUGGUCAGGUAGAGAAUACCAAGGCGCUUGAGAGAACUCGGGUGAAGGAACUAGGCAAAAUGGUGCCGUAACUUCGGGAGAAGGCACGCUGAUAUGUAGGUGAAGCGACUUGCUCGUGGAGCUGAAAUCAGUCGAAGAUACCAGCUGGCUGCAACUGUUUAUUAAAAACACAGCACUGUGCAAACACGAAAGUGGACGUAUACGGUGUGACGCCUGCCCGGUGCCGGAAGGUUAAUUGAUGGGGUUAGCGGUAACGCGAAGCUCUUGAUCGAAGCCCCGGUAAACGGCGGCCGUAACUAUAACGGUCCUAAGGUAGCGAAAUUCCUUGUCGGGUAAGUUCCGACCUGCACGAAUGGCGUAAUGAUGGCCAGGCUGUCUCCACCCGAGACUCAGUGAAAUUGAACUCGCUGUGAAGAUGCAGUGUACCCGCGGCAAGACGGAAAGACCCCGUGAACCUUUACUAUAGCUUGACACUGAACAUUGAGCCUUGAUGUGUAGGAUAGGUGGGAGGCUUUGAAGUGUGGACGCCAGUCUGCAUGGAGCCGACCUUGAAAUACCACCCUUUAAUGUUUGAUGUUCUAACGUGGGCCCCUUACCGGGGUUGCGGACAGUGUCUGGUGGGUAGUUUGACUGGGGCGGUCUCCUCCUAAAGAGUAACGGAGGAGCACGAAGGUUGGCUAAUCCUGGUCGGACAUCAGGAGGUUAGUGCAAUGGCAUAAGCCAGCUUGACUGCGAGCGUGACGGCGCGAGCAGGUGCGAAAGCAGGUCAUAGUGAUCCGGUGGUUCUGAAUGGAAGGGCCAUCGCUCAACGGAUAAAAGGUACUCCGGGGAUAACAGGCUGAUACCGCCCAAGAGUUCAUAUCGACGGCGGUGUUUGGCACCUCGAUGUCGGCUCAUCACAUCCUGGGGCUGAAGUAGGUCCCAAGGGUAUGGCUGUUCGCCAUUUAAAGUGGUACGCGAGCUGGGUUUAGAACGUCGUGAGACAGUUCGGUCCCUAUCUGCCGUGGGCGCUGGAGAACUGAGGGGGGCUGCUCCUAGUACGAGAGGACCGGAGUGGACGCAUCACUGGUGUUCGGGUUGUCAUGCCAAUGGCACUGCCCGGUAGCUAAAUGCGGAAGAGAUAAGUGCUGAAAGCAUCUAAGCACGAAACUUGCCCCGAGAUGAGUUCUCCCUGAGACUUAGAGUCUCCUGAAGGAACGUUGAAGACGACGACGUUGAUAGGCCGGGUGUGUAAGCGCAGCGAUGCGUUGAGCUAACCGGUACUAAUGAACCGUGAGGCUUAACCUU